GGCCUGCUGGGGAGAAGCCCGACUGCAGGGUCUGAGUUCAGUUCCUCCAGACCAGCUGUCUGUCUGGCAUCAUGUGCAACUAAUAGAGAGUGCUGUCCUCAUGAAGACACAAAGGCAAAGCCCCUUGAAAGUAAUUUUCAGAUUAAACCUCAGAGGAUGCCACCUUAAAAUCGUCAUGGUGGAUGGAAGUCUGACUCCGGUCCUCGUCCGUCCCAGUGUCCAGACAACUUGCACUGCCAUUUCAUCUGCACAAACAGCUCAUCGUCGGCAUUUCUAGUUUUAGAAAACAAUUAGUAGACAAUUGCCAAGAAUUACGAUGUACAGAACGAGUAACAAAGACGCUUUCCUGUUCUCCUUUCUGUUGGAAGUUACCGCGCCAUCUAGGUGGAGUGGAAGCCCGUGCUUUAUGCUCUUGCUGUUAUGCCUUUCUCGCCAUGAACUUUAUGCCUUCUGAAAAUGAGAAGAAAUGGGAUCCUGCCAACCCUGUUGCUUUUU
rnacentral:lncRNA from 1 species